rnacentral:rRNA from 1 species
CCCGCUCAGAAACUUAAAGGAAGUUGACGGGGCCCGCACAAGCGGUGGAGCAUGUGGUUUAAUUCGAUGAUACGCGAGGAACCUUACCUGGGCUCAAAUGUAUGUUGACGUAUUCUGAAAGGGAUACUUCUUCGGACAAUAUACAAGGUGCUGCAUGGUUGUCGUCAGCUCGUGCCGUGAGGUGUCGGGUUAAGUCCCAUAACGAGCGCAACCCCUAUCAUUAGUUGCCAUCAGGUCAAGCUGGGGACUCUAAUGAAACUGCCUACGCAAGUAGUGAGGAAGGUGGGGAUGACGUCAAAUCAGCACGGCCCUUACGUCCAGGGCUACACACGUGCUACAAUGGCCGGUACAAAGGGCAGCUACCUGGUGACAGGAUGCUAAUCUCAAAAGCCGGUCUCAGUUCGGAUCGGAGUCUGCAACCCGACUCCGUGACGCUGGAAUCGCUAGUAAUCGCGCAUCAGCCAUGGCGCGGUGAAUACGUUCCCGGGCCUU